AAAGGUAAGCUACUAAGAGCGAAUGGUGGAUGCCUUGACUGGUAAAGGCGAUGAAGGACGUACUAGACUGCGAUAAGCUACGGGGAGCUGUCAAGAAGCUUUGAUCCGUAGAUUUCCGAAUGGGGCAACCCAAUGUAUAGAGAUAUACAUUACCUAUAUAGGAGCGAACGAGGGGAAUUGAAACAUCUUAGUACCCUCAGGAAAAGAAAUCAAUAGAGAUUGCGUCAGUAGCGGCGAGCGAAAGCGUAAGAGGGCAAACCCAGUGCUUGCACUGGGGGUUGUAGGACUGCAAUGUGCAAGAGCUGAGUUUAGCAGAACAUUCUGGAAAGUAUAGCCAUAGAGGGUGAUAGUCCCGUAUGCGAAAAACAAAGCUUAGCUAGCAGUAUCCUGAGUAGGGCGGGACACGAGGAAUCCUGUCUGAAUC
rnacentral:rRNA from 1 species